GGUUCACGCUGCCAAGAAAAGCUUCUAGCCAGGCGAAGGUGCCCGUACCGCAAACCGACACAGGUGGGUGAGAAGAGAAUUCUAAGGCGCGCGGAAGAACUCUCGUUAAGGAACUCGGCAAAAUGACCCCGUAACUUCGGGAGAAGGGGUGCCUCGGUAGGGUGAAUAGCCCGAGGGGGCCGCAGUGAAAAGGCCCAAGCGACUGUUUAGCAAAAACACAGGUCUGUGCGAAGCCGCAAGGCGAAGUAUACGGGCCGACGCCUGCCCGGUGCUGGAAGGUUAAGAGGAGUGGUUAGGGGCAACCCGAAGCUAUGAAUUGAAGCCCCAGUAAACGGCGGCCGUAACAAUAACGGUCCUAAGGUAGCGAAAUUCCUUGUCAGGUAAAUUCUGACCCGCACGAAUGGCGUAACGACUUGGGCGCUGUCUCAACGAGAGAUCCGGUGAAAUUUUAAUACCUGUGAAGAUGCAGGUUACCCGCGACAAGACGGAAAGACCCCAUGGAGCUUUACUGCAGCUUGAUAUUGGACUUUGGUACGAUCUGUACAGGAUAGGUGGGAGCCUUUGAAGCCUGAGCGCCAGCUUGGGUGGAGGCAUCGUUGGGAUACCACCCUGAUCGUAUCGGAGUUCUAACCUAGUACCGUGAUCCGGUAUGGGGACAGUGUCAGGUGGGCAGUUUGACUGGGGCGGUCGCCUCCUAAAAUGUAACGGAGGCGUUUAAAGGUUCCCUCAGAAUGGUUGGAAAUCAUUCGCAGAGUGCAAAGGCAUAAGGGAGCUUGACUGCGAGACCUACAAGUCGAGCAGGGACGAAAGUCGGACUUAGUGAUCCGGUGGUACCGAAUGGAAGGGCCAUCGCUCAACGGAUAAAAGCUACCCUGGGGAUAACAGGCUUAUCUCCCCCAAGAGUCCACAUCGACGGGGAGGUUUGGCACCUCGAUGUCGGCUCAUCGCAUCCUGGGGCUGAAGUAGGUCCCAAGGGUUGGGCUGUUCGCCCAUUAAAGCGGUACGCGAGCUGGGUUCAGAACGUCGUGAGACAGUUCGGUCCCUAUCUGUCGCGGGCGUAGGAAAUUUGAGAGGAGCUGUCCUUAGUACGAGAGGACCGGGAUGGACGUACCGCUGGUGUACCAGUUGUCUCGCCAGAGGCAUCGCUGGGUAGCUAUGUACGGAGGGGAUAAGCGCUGAAAGCAUCUAAGCGCGAAGCCCCCCUCAAGAUGAGAUUUCCCAGUAUGUAAGACCCCUUGUAGACGACGAGGUUGAUAGGUUCGAGGUGGAAGUGCGGCAACGUAUGCAGCUGACGAAUACUAAUCGGUCGAGGGCUUAACC
rnacentral:rRNA from 1 species